ACAAUGCCACCAAAAGAUGGCUGAUGCAGCUACAACAGAACCUGGAAGCUCCGGGAAUCCCGGACCCCCGGAGUAUGCCCCUGUCCUGAUCCAGGUCAUGCAGUACUGAUGUUCAUAACUCUUUCAUGUGAAAAGUUGAAAUCAGAACUUAUGGAACAUGUAAAGAAAGUGAGGGCAGUGAAAGAUUUGAAUGUUGGAUUAUGAGAUUUUUGGAUGUAGAUAAGUUGUUGUUUUGUAUGUGUUAAAAGGACCUGACUUUAGAGUGCUUUCAUAGUGUCAGUGAACCGAAAAAUAUCAGCAGAAAAGAAAGAUGGAGAAUUAAUUGAUUCAAUGAUACAUUGUUACAGCAAAGAAAUUUCUUUUUUGUUUAUUUUUAUAGAAUGAAAAAAAAACUUGAACAUGUACAUUUAUAACACAAGGAUGGCCAUUUUUAUGACCUUAAAAUGUUAAUGUCAUUAUGCAGGGAUCAUUUUGUGGUGUUUGAUUGUAUAUCAAGUAUGCAAAAAUUAUGACUUCAAUUUUACCAAACACUACAAAUUUAUUAUUCGAUUGUGAAGAAAUCUCAAGUAUUGUUACAAAUCAGGGAAUUUUGAUUGCUAAAAUUCAGCUCUGAAAUUUUAGCCAUGUUUGUCUAAAGAAAAAGAUCCAAUUAAAAACUUGAAG
rnacentral:misc_RNA from 1 species